rnacentral:tRNA from 1 species
GCCGCCUUAGCUCAGGGGUAGAGCAGCUCACUCGUAAUGAGCAGGUCCUCGGUUCGAAUCCGAGAGGCGGCUCCA